CCUGCCAGCACGAGGCGUCUGGACGCCUUUGCACAUUUGAGGGUGGUUUUGGGAAGGAGGAGGCAGCGAGCGGCAGGGAGGCGAGAAGGCCGGUGUGCCGAGAGACUGGAGUCCAGGGAGCUUUCAUUGUAUGAGCUGGACACGUCGGUGCACGCGUUUGUGCCGACAGGAGGAGCCAGGGAGCAGCGGCUGUGUGGGAGAGCGCGAGGGCAGGAUGCGGUGUGGGGGCCGCGGUUCACGGGCGGCCGGGCCAGGCGGCGGGGCGGGUCUCCGAGCUGUGACCCCGGCGUCAGAUCACAGACAGGCGGCCCUGUGUGCAAGCUGGGUGUCUGCCCAGCCAGACCAGGAGCAGGGGGCUGCGGCCAGUGCCCUCUUCUGAGACCUGUCCCUACGACCUCUAGUCAGAAGAGUCCGCAAGGUCGCAGCUCCCCGCCGCCCGCCCAGAACCACAGCAGCCCCUGGCUCCGCACCCCGGCCUGGGUCCUUCCUCCCCUCCCCCCAUCCAGGGCGUCUGCCACCUCCAAGGAACACGCUCGGCCCACCGCACAGGAGGGAGGGGCCCAGAACCUGACCCCCAACACUCAGGGCCCUCGCCCGAGUUGGUCUGGGCCUGCUCCACUACGGGGUACCAGGCACCUCCUGCAGGAAGAACACCCUGCAGAGGCUGGAGCCGCGGAUCAGAACCUUCCAUCUGGGCCCGGGUCCUCCGAACCCUCUGCCUUCCAGCCAGUGGUCACUGCACCCCCGAGGGUUACAGAUGGUUUUGGGGGCCCACAGACCCCUGGCGUCCCCUCCCUGUCACCGAUCGCCAAGGUUGGGGACACAAGGACUUCGAGGCAGGCCCCCCGCAAGGUGCCCUGCCCGGCGUCUGUGGAGCACAGAGCCUGCCUCUGUGCUGAAGCAGCUGCUAAAUACAUUCCUAUUUCAAGAGCCAGGACUCCGGCGGGCCUCGGAGUGGCCACGUGGAGGCAUCUCGCCCCGAGCCAGGAGCGGGUAAAUAAGCGCCCUUAACGGUUAAUUACUGUCGCGGCGGGCGUGAAAUCAGGGAUUUCAGAUGCGCGCGCACAGACUGGCUGCGGCCCGCUGACUCACGACGGGGACAAGCACCCCAGGGCGGCGCACAGCGCACGCUUCAUUAACUGCCCGUGAUCGGCUCGGCCUGCGCCAGGGCUCCGGGGCUGAGUGCCUUCGGCUCUAAUUGCCGAUGGAGGGCUCAGUCGAGUGCCUACUUAUGUGGCCGGCGCGGCGAUGCUGGGACUCGAGGCCUCCGAGGGUGUUACUUCUGCGCGCAGGCGCCCGGCUCUCUCCGCCCUGCCCCACGGGGUCUGUAACUAGGGAGGCUGAAGGGCCCCUCCCACGCGAAGAAGAGAACAACCUUCCCACUGCAGGCCUCACACCUGAGUCACUGGAAGAAGGGAGAUUGCGCUCCCAGAGGCUCCAGCCUUUUCUCGGGGAGACACCGAGCAGUUUCAAAGGCAACCAAACAGUGUCACACAAGCUGGGCACCAAACGUGAGCACCGCCCCGCCCGACCGGCAGAGCAGCCCGG
rnacentral:lncRNA from 1 species